UUCAAAAAUCAGACUGUCUACCGUUUCUUCAGCGAGUAAGAAGAAAACCCUUAUGGUCGAGACUACUAUUAAUGGGAAAAAUAAACUUUGUACAGUUGACACUGGCGCAUCUAUUUCAUUAGUUAGUAAAGACCAGUGGCAACCUCUUAAACUGGAUGAUACCCCAUUAUUUCCAUCCGAUAUUGUUGCAGAAGCCGCUAACAAUUCUCCCAUUGGGAUUUUGGGCAAAACCACCUUGAAUGUGCAAUUUGAUGAAAACAACAAGUCAUCUCAUGACUUUUAUGUGGCUAAUGAAAUGUUGUCUGAAAUUAUUCUGGGUUUAGAUUGGUUAGUAACUAACAAAGUAAAUGUCGAUAUGGCUGAAAUGGUUUUGAAAUUCCCAGAUGGUACCACAAAACCCUUGUGUUUAUUUGAUUCAACCAUAGCAGAUCCCCUGGGCGUUGUUCUAGAUGAGGAUUUGGUUGUUCCGGCGAAACAUGAAGUUUUCAAAACUGCCAGGGUCCGAAAUCCCACUUUAAAUGAAAGCAUCUUAGAGCCUAAUAUGAACUUAUCCGGGAAAGGUGUUCUUGUAGCAAGAGUUAUUGUACAGCCAAAAGAACAGAGGGUACCCAUCCAGAUUAUUAAUCCAGGGACAUCACCUAUUAAGUUGUACAAGGGCAUGACGGUUGGGCACCUUCAGCAAGUUGGUGAUGAGUUAAGAGACCCAACAGUUAUUAAUUCAAAGUGUGGUUCGCCAUCUGCUGAGGAUAAGAUCAAAUUCGAGUUAGAGCAUCUGUCGGGUGAGGAGCGAGAGAGGAUGGAAAAUUUGUUGAAUAAACACCAAGAUAUUUUCGCAAAAAAUUCUAGUGAACUUGGCGUAACCACACUAGCAGAGCAUAAGAUUGAGACAGGCGAUGCCGUACCUGUUAAACAACUGCCUCGAAGACUGCCCAAUUCUCUGAGAACCGUUGUUGAAGACCAAGUAAAAGAAAUGUUGGAAAACAACAUAAUUAAGCCGAGUAAUUCACCAUGGUCAAGUCCUAUAGUCUUAGUUCGAAAGAAAGAUGGGACAUGGCGUUUUUGUAUUGAUUUCAGGAAACUAAAUGAUGUCACAGUGAAAGAUGCUUUCCCACUUCCCCAGGUUGCUGAUUUGAUGGAUAACUUAGCUGGUC